rnacentral:rRNA from 12 species
ACACUGCGGCCGCACUGGAAUGCAAGUGCCCAAUAGUGUCUGCUCCUGGAAGCUAAGUGGGGCCGUGCCUGGUUAGUACUUGGAUGGGAGACCAACUUGAAAGACCAGGG